AAUAUUCGGCACAGGGUCCCCCUGGGGCCAGCGGCAGGCGCGCUGGGGCUGCGUGGGGAGCACGCGCGGAGCAGGCGUGAGCGCCAGGGCCCGCAGGAGCACCGAGGCUGGGGCAGAUCGUGCGGAGGGGAAGAGGAAAACCUCCGCCCGCUGCACGCGGAGCAUUCCAGGGCGCGCUGCAGGGUGCGCUUUCCCAAGACCGUGCAAGCUGUGCAGCGAGGGAAAAAUCCCAGCAGACCUUACGCAAAAGGUGAGCGCAGCCCCGUGCCAUGCCGGGCUGCGGCUGAGCUGUGCUGCUGGGGCUCCCGGCUCCUGCCCCGAGCCUCCCCUGCCUGUGGCGUGGGCCAGGAGGGGUCCACGGGCAGCAGAAGCCCCGCGGGACGGCGAGCACGGGCAGCACCAGCAGCCACGAGCCGACGGCCCCGGACGGACACGAUCCCGCCAGGGAGACCUGUUGGCAAAGGUUUGGUGGAAACGGCUCUCCUGGAGAGCGCCGCGGGAAACCGCACGUCCCUGCAGACAGAGGAGGCCAUUGAAAAUACCCCCCCAUUUUUUUUUUUUUUUUUAAUUUUUUUGGCAGAAGAGGAGCCGUUCCUUCGCCAGGCUGUGCGCCCGGCAGGGUGGAGGCUGCAGCCCGUCCCCGCAGCGAGAUGCAUGGAGCGGGCGAUGCUCAGCACCAUCACCGGCACCCAGCGGGGACCAGCCCGGGGGAGCAACGUCCCCUUUCAUAGGGAAAGUCGGGGCAGAUGGGGAGGAUCAAACACACCUCUGCAGCCCCGGGGUGAGCUCCAGGCAGAGCCCGAGUUCAGCGCCGGGUCAAGAGGUUGCUGCUGGGAGCAGCUGCGGGGACGGGGGUGGCUCUGGGGACAGGGGUGGCUCUGGGGACAGGGGGUGGCUCUUGGGAUAGGGGGUGGCUGCAGGGAUGUCCUGAAUGGCCACAAAACCAUACCUGGUGCACAAGGAGCCUGCAUAAAUCAUCCCUACGGCCACAGCUCCCGGCUCCCUCCCCAUCCCGCUCCAUCCUCCCCAUCCCUCCACAUCCCUCUCAUCUCUCUCCAUCCCUCGGGUCCCAGCGUGGGCUUCUCCCCGUGCUCCUCCCCACCACCUCCCCACACCCCUCCAUCCCUUUCUCACCCCCCCAAGAGAUGCCUGACUUUAUCCAUUAACUUUGUUUGCCGGGCUGCUUCUCAUUAGAUAGCCAACAAAUUCCAGGAAGACAGGACACCCACUGGGCCUAAAUGAAAUUAGAGAACAGAGCAGUGCUACAAGUGGUUUAAUUCAAAUUAUAGUAAGGCAUUAUUGCCAACUGCAAGUGCUCAGAAUCAUGAGUCAGACCCCCACAAGGAACGAGACAGGCUUAAAAAAAUCAUGACUUGUUAAGUAUAUAAUUAACUUUGGGGUUAUUUUUAUUUACCUUCCAGUUUUUAGCCUUCAGGAAUCAAAUUUUUGAGCUUGCCUGAAUGAGCGUUGGAAACCGCUUAAAAUUAAAGAGGGGGGAGAAGAAGAAGAAGGGAAGUCUCCCACAUUCCCACGAUGCCAGGGGCUGGGGAUUGAACGCGACACCACGUGUCACAGGAGUGGCAAUAGCAUCUCCGGAGCCGGGACCGCUGCGGAAAUCAAAGCCCAGCGUGCUCCUCCGAGUCAGGAGCUGCGGGCAACUGCAAAUAUCGCCCGCAGAGGACCUCUGGAACAAGGCGCUGCUUUCUUCUCCAAAGCAAGCUCCCUGCUCCUGUGUCCUGGGCACUGCACAAAGGGGCUUUGAGGGGAGCCCUGGUGAGCUGCCGGCCCCGUGCACGAGGUGAGGGACGAGCCGGGGAAGCAGGGGGAGGCUGCGGCAUGGCAGGGACCUGCCCCCAGCCACCUGCAGAGAUUUGCAGUGGGGAAAACAGCAGGAGGAGUUAAAAAAAAAACCAAACUCUUUUCAAGUAUAGAAGUACUGCAUCUUGCAGGAGAGGCAGGACCCCCAGGACCAGCCCCACCUAGCACUGCUGCGAGCACUGUGCCAGCAGCAGCUUUUGCUCCUGGAGCUGUUUUCUUCUAGGGCAUCAUUUUUUAUUUUUUCUUUUUUGCAGGGAAAUGGAUCUGCGCGGGACACCACGGAAAGGGCUGAGGCUGAUGUAACAUCAUGAGACUCCUGGGAGCGUGCACGACGUUGGGCAGGAAGCGUCUGGGGAGGCUGAGCAGGGUCACUGGGUGACGCCAGCUGUGUCAAGGAAGCGUUGGGACACGGCUGGGCACUUUGCCGGGCAAGGGCCGAGUUUCUCCAUGUGCCCAAGCUGCUCGCGCAGCCUCGGAGCAAGCGGAGCCUGGGGGAGCCGAACGGGCCAAGCCUCCCCUGCUCCCUGCCUCGGGUUGUGUCUUCGCCUGUUUCCGCUGAACAGAUAGUACCCUGCUAUCUUUCACUGAAACAUCAUGUCCAAUUUAUCCCUUGAUUAAACCCAUAUUUUGCUUGGCUAUAUGUCAAAUAUAAGAAGGCCGCACUCAAGUGAACUAAUCUUGGUUUACUUGCCAGUAGGUAAUUUGAUAGACAAUUUGGCAGGCAUCCACUCUAGAAUUAAGCAAACCUGAGCAAUAAAGAUGUAGAAAAACAAUCCUGAAAAGCCA
rnacentral:lncRNA from 1 species